CUAGGCCACACUUCCUACAUGAUGUUAACAUUUUAAUAUGAAAUACUUAUGCAUUGAUAGGUUCCUAUGGCGAGCUUGCUUCGUGCCAACAUAACCUAAAAUCUCAUCUGAAGAAGUGUCUGAGUAUUUGUUUGAAGGAACCCAACAUUUCUCAAUAAGAUCUAUACCAAGCUCUACACAGAGGGUGGAAGUGGCAAGGUCAACAAUGAACAUGAGGUGAGACAGAUUGAGAGAGCAUGCAAGAGACCAGACACACAAGAUGUCAUUAGAAUGUAAUGACAUCUUCAAACCCUUACCUGGACAAGACAAGGAUAUCCGAACUAUGCUAACAAAGGGAAUCACUGGCAUUGGAAAAACAGUGUCUGUGCAGAAGUUUAUUCUUGCCUGGGUGGAAGAAAAGGCAAACCAGGAUGUCCAGCUCGUCUUUUCACUCCCUUUUCAGGAGCUGAAUUUGAUGGAGGAAAAGAGUUAAUGGAACUUCAUCACUUUUUUUUAUUGAGAUCAAAAAUCUGGAAUCUCAGACCUCAAGAAGUACAAUGUUGUGUUUGUCCUUGAUGGUUUGGAUGAAUGCCAUCUUCCUCUAGAUUUUGAGAGCAAGACCUGGUGUGAUGUCACAAAGCCAACCACAGUGGAUGUGCUGUCUUUACAAACCUCAUCCAGGGAAAUCUGCUUCCCUAUGCUCGCAUCUGGUUUACCUCCCGACCUGCACCAGCCAAUCGCAUUCCUCUAGAGUGUGUUGACCAGGUGAAAGAGAUGCGAGGGUUCAGUGACUCACGGAAGGAUGAGUACUUCAUCAAGAGAAUGACUGAUCCAAACCAGGCCAGAAGAAUCCUCACACACAUCAAGUCAUCAAGAAUAUUUGAAGAAUAUCAUCAAGAAUAUCAUGUGCCACAUUCCAGUAUGCUGUUGGAUUUCAUCCUCUGUUCUGAAGAAUCUGUUAGUUGAAGCAGAGAGUAGGAAGAUGCCCAAAACGCUGACUCAAAUGUGCACACACUUCCUGAUGUUUCAGACCAGACAGGUGAAUCUGAAGUAUGUUAUAGAACAAGAGAUGGAACCCCCAUUAAAUCAAAAGAUAAUUCUGGGAUUGGGGAAGCUAGCCUUUCAACAGCUGGAAAAGGGCAACCUGAUCUUCUAAGAGGAAGACCUGAGAGAGUAGGGCAUCGAUGUUGAAGUGUCAGUGUACUUCAGAAUGUGUGCACAGGUCUUCAGAGAGGAGUGUGGGCUGUACCUGAGAAAGGUGUACUGCUUUGUGCCUCUGAGCAUCCAGGAGUGUCUGACUGCUCUGUAUGUCUUUCUCAUGUUCAACAAUGUAAAUCUGAUGGCAGAACAGGAAACCACACCCAAUGACCCUCUGACGUCUAACGAAUUCUCUACAACCAUCCUCCAUAAGAGUGCAGUAGAUAAGGCACUGAAGAGUGAGAAUUGACACCUGGACCUCUUCCUCAGCUUCCUUCUCAGCCUCUCCCUGGAGUCCAAUCAGACUCUGUUAAGAGGUCUACCAACACAGACAAGAAGCAGCUCACAGAGCCAUAAGGAAACAAUAGAAUACAUCAAGGAGAACCCCUCUCCAGAGAAGUGCAUCAGCCUGUACCACUGUCGGAAUGAGCUGAAUGACCAUUUAGUGGAGGAGAUCCAAAGGCACCUGGGAUCGGGAAUUCUCUCUAAGGCCAAACAUUCACCUGCAGAGUGGUCAGCUCUGGUCUUUGUGUUGCUGACCUCAGAGAUGCUAGAUAUUUUCGAACUGAGAAAAUACUCUGGUUCAGAGGGUCUGCUGAGGCUGCUGCCAGUGGUCAAAGCCUCCAGAGUAGUGCUACUGAUGGGUUACAACCUGACAGAAAAAUGCUGUGAAGCACUGGCCUCUUCUCUCAGCUCCCCUCAACUGAGAACGCUGAACCUGAAUGAUAAUGAUCUGCAGGAUUCAGGAGUGAAGCUGCUCUCUGCUGGACUGAGGAGUCCACGCUGUAAACUGGAAGUUCUUACGUGUUGGAGUGUAAAGUAUUAGUUUGUUAUUAUAUGGAAUCACAGAGGAAGGCUGUGCUUCCUUGACCUCGGCUCCGAGGUCAAACCCCUCACACCUGAGAGAACUAAAUCUGGACUACAGUCACAUAGGAGACUCAGGAGUGAAGAUUCUCUCUGCUGCACUGGAGCAUCCAGACUGUAAUGUAAAACUCAGAUACCUAUGAGCUGACACUGGACCCAAACACAGCUCACAGACGCCUCGCCGUCUGAGGGGAACAUAACAGAGACGGGAGACAGAGGAGAAACCGUAUCCUGAUCACCCAGAGGAGCAACCAUAUCCAGAUUAGAGUUGCUGUUAUCCAACACAUGUAUGAUAUAGGCUACUGCACAGUACGCACGACAGACAAACAUAAAAGCCCAUAGAUGUAGCUAGCUAUAUACUCUCUUAGGUAAAUAAAUGAAACUAGUGCGAACUGUAUUACUGUACUGUAUUAUACUGUAUUAUAUGGGCUGGAAUUACGCACAUUGUUCAAACCACGAUAAAGCAGGAGAGAACAUGCGAUUCGUGUGCAGCACAUGCAGCCUACAAAGUCACAAGUAUAGGCUAAAGAAUUUGAUUUAAAUUUUGAAAUAUAAUAGGGCCUAUUUGUAUACUUAGUAGGCUGACGCAUAUAUACCUUUCAUAAUAUUCCCCUAAUGUUAUUAGCCUACUUCCUCUUUCUCUAUUGUUGCUUCAUUCCUUCCUCGCUUUCAACAGUUCAAUUAAAUACUUUUCGUUGUCCUUAUCUUCAUCAUUCUAAUGACAUCCAUUAAUAAUAUUGGACUAGAAUUAGAAACAGAAUGCUUACACUUCUCUUCACGAAGAUUGAAUGGUAAUGAGUCCGAAUAAUUAACUGAUAUAGCCUACCGCUAUCGCGCCCAUUUGCUCUUCUUUCAAACUACCCGUGAGUUCUAUUGGCUGCUGUAUUUAGCAAUCAUAAACAUAUUAUGCCCAGCAAUGUAUUUUAGUCUAGUUUUUCCUGCAUGGGAUUGGAAGAGCUAAGGAGCGUUUUUUAAGGAGAGGUCAGCGGAGCACAGGUGUGUGUGUAAGGGAUGUGAAACGGCUGGCUUAGUUAGCGGUGCGCACUAAAUAGUGUUUCAAUCAGUGACGUCACUUGCUCUGCAAGGGCGGCGGCUUUGGUGGAGCGAUGGGUAACGAUGCUUCGAGGGGUGACUGUUGUUGAUGUGUGCAGAGGGUCCCUGGUUCGCGCCCGGGCAUGGACGGUCUAAAGUUAUACUGUUACAUUGAUGCUGUUGACCCGGAUCACUGGUUGCUGUGGAAAGGGAGGAGGUCAAAAGGGGGAGAAGAGCUCCCUCUGUCCUCAAUAUGCUGAUACCCCCUCCAGUUUGUCAGAGAUCCCCUGCUACAGCCCAGGAGAGCAACCUCAGGCUGGGAAACGUACCAGUCCUGUCAGAGCCUGCACAGAAUGCUAUAGAACAUUGUAUUGUAUUGUAUUCAUGACGUUACUCUGAGGACUAUGUCCCCUGAAUCUGUGGGGAAGUGUUGUAAUCCAUACAUUUGUAACAGUGUAAAUAAUCUAUAAAAGUAUUAUAUUUGAUUGUAGCACGCCUUGAUUUUAUAGCCAUUAAUUAUGAGUGAUUUACACAGAUGUACACAAUAGACAAGUACAGGUUUUAUGGUGUUGGUAGCAUGCUGUACUACAGUACUUAUCUUACUAAAGACAUUCCUGAAACUAACACUAAAUACAUUUAUGAAGAUUUGUACCAUAUUUGUAAAGUGUGUUGUCUCUUCCUCUCUAUCACUAAAAGGAGGCGUGGCGUAAUGCAGUACCAGUGAUGUUCUGUACACUGCAUCUGGUUCUAUCUUACUAAAGACAUUCCUGAAACUAACACUAAAUACAUUUAUGAAGAUUUGUACCAUAUUUGUAAAGUGUGUUGUCUCUUCCUCUCUAUCACUAAAAGGAGGCGUGGCGUAAUGCAGUACCAGUGAUGUUCUGUACACUGCAUCUGGUUCUAUCUUACUAAAUAACUUCCUGAAACUAACACUAAAUACAUUUAUAAAGAUUUGUACCAUAUUUGUAAAGUGUGUUGUCACUUCCUCUCUAUCACUAAAAGGAGGUGUGGCGUAAUGCAGUACCAGUGAUGUUCUGUACACUGUCUCUGGUUCUAUCUUACUAAAUAACUUCCUGAAACUAA